GGGAUAUUGCUCAAUGGGCGCAAGCCUGAAGCAGCGACGCCGCGUGGGUGAUGAAGGUCUUCGGAUCGUAAAACCCUUUUACAGGUGACGAGGAAGGACGGUAGCCUGUGAAGAAGUGUCGGCUAACUACGUGCCAGCAGCCGCGGUAAAACGUAGGACGCAAGCGUUAUCCGGAAUUACUGGGCGUAAAGCGCGUGUAGGUGGUUGCAUAAGUCACUGUUGAAAGCUCCUGGCUAAACUGGGAGAGGUGCGGUGAGACUGUGCGGCUAGAGUAUGGGAGAGGGAUGCAGAAUUCCGGGUGUAGUGGUGAAAUGCGUAGAGAUCCGGAGGAAUACCAGAGGCGAAGGCGGCAUCCUGGCCUAAAACUGACACUGAGACGCGAAAGCAUGGGGAGCGAAC
rnacentral:rRNA from 1 species